UUCAACCACAAGGUCAAAAUGGCAAAAUGGAACAAACUCACGUCACAGUUCCAUGAGCACAUUCCGUGAAAUUCUUCUGAAAGUCCCACUUCCUUCAAAGUCCUUCCAUGUGUCCACAAUAUCCCACCGCUGCCACCACUGUAAGGUCUUCAGGCCCACAUAACACGCAACACAGGUGUACAAAUAACAGACGUUUACUUGACGAA